rnacentral:rRNA from 1 species
GAUGAACGCUAGCGGCAGGCUUAACACAUGCAAGUCGAGGGGUAUUGGUUUUCGGACCAAGAGACCGGCGCACGGGUGCGUAACGCGUAUGCAAUCUACCUUUUGCAGAGGGAUAGCCCAGAGAAAUUUGGAUUAAUACCUCAUAGUAUAGUACUUUGGCAUCAAGGAACUAUUAAAGUCACAACGGCAAAAGAUGAGCAUGCGUCCCAUUAGCUAGUUGGUAAGGUAACGGCUUACCAAGGCUACGAUGGGUAGGGUCCUGAGAGGGAGAUCCCCCCANACUGGUACUGAGACACGGACCAGACUCCUACGGGAGGCAGCAGUGAGGAAUAUUGGACAAUGGGCGCAAGCCUGAUCCAGCCAUGCCGCGUGCAGGAUGACGGUCCUAUGGAUUUGUAAACUGCUUUUAUACAGGAAGAAACACUCCGACGUGUCGGAGCUUGACGGUACUGUAAGAAUAAGGAUCGGCUAACUCCGUGCCAGCAGCCGACGG